rnacentral:misc_RNA from 1 species
GCCAUGUUGAAAUGACUGUCUGCACCAAUGCAUCCCAGUGAAGCUUGCGACAUGUUUCUCGCAUCACGAUUUUCACUCAGCCCAAACAGAUCGCGCCGUUGUUACUGUGGGCAACGGAGAAAACUUAUUUUUCUGUUUUUUCCUUGGCAUACUUUCCCUUAUCCUGCAAAUCUGUUUCCUUGUGCACACACCAGUGAGCAUCAGUGUGGUUACCGCGAGAAAUAACACGAGACAGCUGCCACGAGCGCAGGUCACGCACCUGGAAGUCUUUUAUAAACGACAGCAGCGGCUUGUGGAUGCCUGCGAGGGCCAGCGGAAGCACAUCCACGACCACAUGCCGGUCAAAGCUCCGCGAAAACUCUUUCGGGUGGGAGACCUCGCCAUGUGUCCCAUCCCCAAGAGCGGGUCGACUUUCUGGAAGCAAGUUCUGUUGUACAUUCACGACAACAAAACAGGCCCGUUCUUUGAAGCCGACUAUGGGGACGUGCACAAACGGGCCUUCAGGCACGAGAAGCCGGCCAGUGACGUCAUCGAUGACGACACAAUAACCGCUGUGUUCGUGCGCGAACCUUACGCCCGCCUGUUCUCAGGCUACAUGGACAAGAUCUUCCAGCCUCGCCUCGACAACUGGCGAAGGCAAGUUGUUGUUCGCUCGCCCUAUGGCAGAUUUUCUCUUGUCCGGAGUUGAAGCACGGCACACAAUAUACCACAUGUGUCCCGCAAACAUCUCAUUCGCCCAGUUCGUCACCUACUUUAUCGCCGCGCGAGA